UACACUUACAUCUGUUUGCAUACGAUAUUUUGAUAUUGGAUUUAUCUGAAUAGACCAGUGACUUUCAUUGCUUUGGGGUGUAUAAUGUUUGCAAGCAAAUGUACUCGUCAAGUUGAAAUUAUAGAAAUAAUGCGAAACAAAUCAUAGUGUUUCGAAUGGUUAAUAUCCGAUGUUAGAUAGGGAUCAGCUGAUGCAUGCGUUAAAAUCUCAGCAUGUUCUUGCCAAAAUUCUGAGGGUACUAUAGAUUUAACUCCACUUUCCGGAAGUCCGAAGUUUAAAGAUGUACAAGAUGAAGCUGGAAGUUAUUAUUUUUCUUAUAAUCCAUGUAAUGAAUUCACUGAAAGUGGAUGUACAUCUGUUUCUGCAUGUCAAACCGAUAUGACCAAUUAUUAUAGUAUAGGAACUCAAAAUAGCGCAGCGUUUAAAGUAGAUGCAACCAAUGGACUAUAUAUUGAAUAUGAUGCCACAACAGAUGUUAAAAGAACAUCACAGGUCUAUUUAAAAUGUGACAAAACAGAAGAGGGUAAACUUGAUGUUAAAGGAGAAUUUCCCGCUGGCAGCGCUAUAUAUGAAAUGACCCUAACAAGUAAAUACGCUUGCCCAAGUGGUAAUGACGGACCAACGGUUACCGUAUCUGUAGAUUUAUCAACAGGAUCAAUUAUGGUUAUCAUAUUUUUUGCUGUAUUGGUUGUGUAUGUGAUAGCUGGUAUAACCUUUCAGCGGUUUGGGCGCAAAGCAUCUGGGAAAGAGAUGGCACCAAAUUAUGGUUUUUGGUCAAGCAUUCCUGGACUUGUUAAAGAUGGCGUUCUAUUUACUGUAAAAUGUGGAAAAGUUGGAAGCUCUUACGAUAAUAUUUAACGUUAAUAAUUGUUGUAUAAUAAUAUUUAUAUUCAUUGUACAUAAUAUAUUUAUUAAAUAUUAAUCAACGCGUUUCAAAGAUGUAUGUGAUUGCUAGGGUAGACUAGCCUGGUUGGCCUAAUUAUUAAUUUUUUGUAUUUCAUUUCUUUUAUAUUCCGAUUAACCUUUAAAAUCAUGAGUUGCUACAAAAUCAUCGCUAAUCCCUCAGUCAUUAGAUACGCCAGUAAAUAAAGACAUUUUUAUCGACAUUUUAUCAACAAUGGAAAGCAUUUUAUUGCCAGAGCCUCGUCUGUGAGACAAACAUCUUCCUUACCUUACAAAACUACCUCAGUCAAAUCCAACAAUUUUGUAAAAUAAGGUUCCAAAUAAAAUAAUUAAACCAUAUGUUAGUCCCGAAAUGACCUAGUUUGUGUCGAGUGGACAUUAAACCCCUUCUCUCUCUCUCUCUCUCUCUCUCUCUCUCUCUACCAAGGUCACAUGCCAUUUGCGAUACAGAUGUAUUUGAAAUGGUUAAAUUUGGUGCGAAACUUGUACCAAUUUUUCCCACAGUCUGAAUAAGUAACAAGCAGCCUGUGGUGCCUCUUUUUUAUUAUUAAAAUACAUCUUUAAAAAGACGAUUAACGAUGUUUAGACACACUGAACUAUUCUUAUCACGAAUGUUUCGAUGUCAGUAUCUGUCGUAUAACCAGAAACAUUGAAUAUUAUUGACAUGAACUUACAGCCGGAAUGUGAAUUAAAUAUGGAAAUAUUUGAGAAGCGGCGACCUUUUUUUAUAUCUUUUAAAAUGGACUAAUACCCAUAGAGCAUGGGGAUUAGACACCUUUAUGAAAUAUGAACAAUAAAUAGUAUGAACAUUUAUUUAUAAAUGUUAGCCGCAAAGUUGCCUGCAUGCAUGGGAAUUUACAAUAUGGAGUGAAGAUGAUGUAAAAGUAUAUUAUUAUAUUUACGAGUACCCGUGUAAUCGGUAAUAUAUUCAUUAAUU